UACGAAUGGGGCUAGCGUUGCUCGGAAUCACUGGGCGUAAAGGGUGCGUAGGCGGGUCUUUAAGUCAGGGGUGAAAUCCUGGAGCUCAACUCCAGAACUGCCUUUGAUACUGAGGAUCUUGAGUUCGGGAGAGGUGAGUGGAACUGCGAGUGUAGAGGUGAAAUUCGUAGAUAUUCGCAAGAACACCAGUGGCGAAGGCGGCUCACUGGCCCGAUACUGACGCUGAGGCACGAAAGCGUGGGGAGCAAACAGG
rnacentral:rRNA from 1 species